rnacentral:hammerhead_ribozyme from 1 species
GCACUGCUGAGGAAUCCCAUAAUAGAACGAAACGGCUGUCCAGUGC